rnacentral:rRNA from 1 species
UACGGAGGGUGCAAGCGUUACUCGGAAUCACUGGGCGUAAAGCGCGCGCAGGCGGGCUGAUAAGCUGGAUGUGAAAUCCUACGGCUCAACCGUAGAACUGCAUCCAGAACUGUCAGUCUAGAGUCUGGGAGGGGAAGAUGGAAUUAGUAGUGUAGGGGUAAAAUCCGUAGAGAUUACUAGGAAUACCAAAAGCGAAGGCGAUCUUCUGGAACAGUACUGACGCUGAGGCGCGAAAGCGUGGGGAGCAAACAGGAUUAGAUACCCUGGUAGUCCACGCCCUAAACGAUGAAUGUUAGUCGUUGGUGUCCUAGUGACAUCAGUGAUGCAGCUAACGCAUUAAACAUUCCGCCUGGGGAGUACGGUCGCAAGAUUAAAACUCAAAGGAAUAGACGGGGACCCGCACAAGUGGUGGAGCAUGUGGUUUAAUUCGAAGAUACGCGAAGAACCUUACCUGGCCUUGACAUUGAUGGAACCCGGUAGAGAUACUGGGGUGCCCUUUUAGGGAGCCUGAAAACAGGUGCUGCACGGCUGUCGUCAGCUCGUGUCGUGAGAUGUUGGGUUAAGUCCCGCAACGAGCGCAACCCUCGUCACUAGUUACUAACGGUUCGGCCGAAGGACUCUAGUGAGACUGCCUUCGCAAGGAGGAGGAAGGUGAGGACGACGUCAAGUCAUCAUGGCCCUUACGGCCAGGGCAACACACGUGCUACAAUGGGGUGUACAAUGAGACGCGAUACCGCGAGGUGGAGCAAAUCUAUAAAGCAUCUCUCAGUUCGGAUUGUAGUCUGCAACUCGACUACAUGAAGCUGGAAUCACUAGUAAUCGUAGAUCAGCUAUGCUACGGUGAAUACGUUCCCGGGUC